GAACCAUUCAUCUAACUUUAUUACACCAUGUUCUGUGAAAUGACCUCGUCAGUGUUUUUUCAUUGUUUAAUGCAAUUCUGUGAUUUUCUGUCAUGUGUCUCAGUUGCAGCAUUAUGUGGGAAACCCCCCUCUUCUGUUACCCCACCCCACCAGCUCAAUUUCCCUGUUGUUCUUUAUGAGAUGAUCAGCAUUUAAAAUCGUAAUGACAGACAGAUGCUGGAGUGAUAUAGUGCUUUCCAACACCCUUGCACAGUUCAGCCGCUCCUCCUCCCUCUAUUUUGCUGCUAAUGAAGCUGGUUUUCGCACAAGAGUAAUAGGAUUACCACACACUGCUCUGCCAAGGACAGAGACUGGAGGGGGAGACAGGAGGACAGGUUAAAGAGGGGGAUGAAGAGAGAGAGAGGAGCGGGAAAUCAGAGGCAAAUGAAGAGUACAAGCUGAACAGAAUGCGAUAUCUGUGCACACCCACCCUAAAGCCCCUCAGAGUAACAGGCCUGUGAUAUUUGAGGAGCGAGAGAGAGAAAAAAACCCUGCAUACUGGUAGCUAUAGAAUGACAUGAGGAGAUAAUUACACCGAAAGGCUAACCUGUCACCAUAGGGAGGAAAAGAGGGACACGGAGGACAGAAGAGAAGAAAAAGGAACUGCUCAACUCACAGGAGAAAAAAAGAAAGGAUGGAAAGGGUAAAAACAUGACAACGUACAUCAGCAAGCAAAACAGACGCACACCUUCACGCACAUAUCCACACUGCCAAAAUAACCGCAUAUCUGCUCAGUUUUAGAGUGUAAAAUACGUUCACGCGCACAUGAACAUAUGUACGCACAGACAAUGACGCACCCACGCGCUCUCAUUUACGCACUGAGUGAGCAGUGAACAUGAAAUCAGGGAGAAGAUUCAGAGGACAGAUAAACAUCACUAACCCAAACAAAAAAAAAAGGAAUUAAAAAAAAAUCACAUACAUACCAAGUCUUUUCUUUAAGAUCAUCGUUAUCACCAUGAAAGAUUUGUCCCUAAAUAAUGAAUAAUUAAAAAAUAUACAUUUCAUCAUAAUCUUCAUCGUAUGUUACUUUGGAUAGUUGAGGUUUUACCUUCAGAAACUGGGUUGCUAGGUGACCAGAGAAAGAGACAAAAGAAAACAGCUGAGGAUGUGUUAGUGUAGCUCUUUGGUUUAACUAGAUGUGUUUAAGUUCUUUGCUAUUUUAAAAAAAAUCUUUUCAAACACCUUUGGACUGAAGCUGGUUUUUUUUUUUUUUUUUUUUUUAAUGUAUAAUAUAUAUAGACAGAGAUAAAUCAGAAGUGAAAUGAGAACGAAAAGACUCAUACUUGUAGUUCUCUUGGUCAGGCCUUUUCAAAUACCAUGAUUUUUCUUUUUCUUUUUCACCCAUAUCCGAUUGUUACUAAUUAAUAAAGCGAAAACCGAUGUGAAUCAAACUCAAGGAUUGUGUGCAGACUUUAGGGAGCGUGUGUGUUUUGUUCGGUCCUCGAAUGGCGUGUUGCUUUGGUAUCAUUCUCUGGAGAUUCACGCCACUGAGAGACUUACACUUUGAACACGGUCCCUUGCUCUGCAGCUAUUUGCAUAUCAACAUCGUGAAGUUUUUAAGACGUCCGUAACUGCGCCUGACUGUAAUGGUAAGAACGAAAGCUAGAGAAAAUAUAAAGCGAGAUUAAAAUGUUUCUCCUUAUAUUACUUUUCAACAUCUCCUGCGGUUUAAGUCAUAAAAUUUGUCACCUAGCAACAACAGUCACCACCCGCUGUCAGUCACCUAUCUGACUUAUAUACAUACACAUGCACAUUAAGUGUGUGUAUAUAUUAAAAAGGUGUGUGUAUGUGUCCUGCCCUGUGUUUGGUGACUGGAAAAGUGGUCCCAAGGGCCAAGGGAGUGAACAUGCCAGCGCAUCAAUCAUAGUCAAGUUCCUUGAGUGCUUCCAUCUUCAUCCCUGGGGUCGGUUGCAUAAACUAAGACUAGUCUUAAAUUUUUUUUCUUUAAGACUGUUCAUAACUUUUUUAAAGUGAGUUACAUAAAAACGUAGAUUGGUCUAAUUUGAUACCGAUACAAGUAAGACUGCUAGUUGGUCAUACUAGCUCUUAAUGGCUAUGUUUAUACAACUGGCCCCUGAUCUUUCAUCGAAACAUUCCCUGUCCAAUCAGAAAACGCGUCCCCGGCCCCUACAGACAGAUGCAGCCCGCUUCUCUUGUUUUAAAGCAUUCAUCUAUUUGGUUUGUUGUUAAGAGAGUGAGGUAUAUGAGGAACUAUCUCUCUUCUACACCUCCUAACCAGGAGACAGAACAACAGACACACUAUGAAAUAAAUACAAAACAAAGCAGGAAAAGAAGUAGGACAAACAGGAGGAGGAGUGAGGCAGAGAGGAAGAUGGAGCACUGAUACAUUUCCGCUAUCAUACAAUACAUACAUUUUGCUGUAUUUUCCCUCCAGGAACCCCAAAUGCCUCCAUCUUUUCUCUCCUAAAGUUUUUGGUUUUGUAGCUGUUUAAAGCUUUCAGGUCAAGGCUCACGGCAGCACUGCGCUCAACGCUGUCACACACACACACACACGGUAGCCAUCACGACAGUAACCAUAGCAACACGAUCUGUAACAUCAGCAGUGGUGAGACAGGUACGUUCAGAUACAAUGCAGGUUCCUAUAAAACCGUAUCCCUUCUAAGCCAUGGCAGUGCGUGCUUUUACUCUGGAAGGUUACUUCAGCGUUGAAUGAAUGCUACCGAAACAUUUGAGCAGAAGAACCACAGUGCUGCUUUUUCCCCUGAUAGGUUUCCCUCCAUAGGCUCUGUCCAGUAAGGAACAGCUAAGAGGUCGAGAAGACAAGUGUCCGCCCCUAUGCUGUCGAAUAGUGGCCGGUCCAUUAGGACCGACGGUUGCAUUUGUCGAUGGAUUUGGUUUGAAAGGUCGCCUUGGCAAAGGAAGUUUACAUUUGAAUACAAUCUGGUGCCUCAAACACACCCACUACAAAACAGCAUUUGGAAUAUAUUAAAUAAAUAAUAAUAUUAAUCAUAAAAAAGGUCUGUUAAGAAAAUUCACAAACGAGCAAGAGGAGAAUAAAUAACAAAAUCAAUUUCUUUAAAAUGGGGGAGGAAGAAAACACAAAAACCCAAAAGAGAGAUAGUGUGAAUUUUUGGUCUAAGUAAAUAUCAACAUUUUUUUAUCUUUUCACAAUGUUUUUCUUCCAUACAUUAGCAAUUAGUAAGCAUUAUAACAUAGAUCAUUUACUACAAAAUCUAUAGAAGCACUAACUGACCCAUUCGGACUAUACGGUAAGUUCAUGUAUCCAUCCCUCGUUGAACCUGCAGCGCUCAUCGACUACAGAUUUCAGCACGAUAUAAAUACAACGGUAAGGUGGAUGAAAGCAUGUAAGUUGUUGCUUAUGUGAUAUUUGGUUCUCUUUAAAGCUUGUUUAUACUUGACUUUGGUUCUUUGGAUGUACUUGAGCGUGUUUAGCCUGGUUUCUUAUCUGUUGAACUGAAUUUUCACAGUAUUGUUUCAACCACCUGAUUAGAGUCUCUAACACAACUAGAUAGGAACAAGUAAGGAACGUAAAAAAAUGAGAUUUCCGCAAAUACGUGAAUACCUUUUCCCCAAAUGAAAGCACACAAAUCUACACACACAGCCCCACAAACAGACAGACAGAACGAAAGACCAAAAGUAACAACCCUCCCAACCCCCAAACGAACCCGAAUCAUCUUCAGAUGAGUCCAGUGAGGUCAUCAAAGAUCCCGCCACCCAGGACCAGGAACAGUUUGAAUGACAGGAGGCGGAGCGGAUCCCUUGCUACACGGUUCUGGGUGACCUCGGUCCAGAGAUGCAUGAAGGGAUGUCGUUUUUCUGUACAGUGACUCGUUUUACUCCAUCAAUUUUUGGCUUGAUUUGUUUUUGGUUUUCCUUUCUGGGAAGUUCGGCUGGCUGUGAAGUUUCGCUUCAUUUUUUGGCUUGUAGA